UACGUAGGUGGCAAGCGUUAUCCGGAAUUAUUGGGCGUAAAGCGAGCGCAGGCGGUUUGAUAAGUCAGAAGUAAAAGGCUGUGGCUCAACCAUAGUGCGCUUUUGAAACUGUCAAACUUGAGUGCAGAAGGGGGGAGUGGAAUUCCAUGUGUAGCGGUGAAAUGCGUAGAUAUAUGGAGGAACACCGGUGGCGAAGGCGACUUGCUGGACUUCAACUGACGCUGAGGAACGAAAGCGUGGGUAGCAAACAGG
rnacentral:rRNA from 1 species